UACGUAGGGUGCGAGCGUUGUCCGGAAUUAUUGGGCGUAAAGGGCUCGUAGGCGGUUUGUCGCGUCGGGAGUGAAAACACACAGCUUAACUGUGUGCUUGCUUCCGAUACGGGCAGACUAGAGGUAUGCAGGGGAGAACGGAAUUCCUGGUGUAGCGGUGAAAUGCGCAGAUAUCAGGAGGAACACCGGUGGCGAAGGCAGGUCUCUGGGCCGAUACUGACGCUGAGGAGCGAAAGCGUGGGGAGCGAACAGG
rnacentral:rRNA from 1 species